UACAGAGGCCCCGAGCGUUGCGCGAAGUCAUUGGGCUUAAAGGGUGCGUAGGCGGACCCGCAAGUGCUUUGUGAAAUCCCACGGCUUAACCGUGGAAUUGCUUGGCAUACUGCGGGUCUUGAGGUCGGUAGAGGUCACUGGAACUCUAGGUGUAGCGGUGAAAUGCGUAGAUAUCUAGAGGAACGCCAAUGGUGAAGACAGGUGGCUGGGCCGAUUCUGACGCUGAGGCACGAAAGCGUGGGUAGCGAACGGG
rnacentral:misc_RNA from 1 species